CAGCCUCGCUCUCACACAGGAGAUCACAAUGCUUAGCUCGGGGAUUGCUGAGGUAUUUUCCAUAAGAGCAGGAACAAUCUCGGGACCCCUAGGGAUAUGAACAAGCCCUUCAAAUUCGGGAUGUAACCUCUGCAUGUCUCUUUUUACGCAUAAGACAAUCCUCCUUGCUUUUUUUUCCUACUGAGAAAGCCCUGUCUUACCAGCCCCGGAGGACAAUGGUGGAUUUGAAACCAAUGGCUGUGCAUGCUGAUACCUGUUCGUCCUUUCAGAAGGCUUUGUAUGGCUAGCGCCACAUAGCCAGGCCUGGAGCUCUUUCUUAUGCAAGGGAAAAAACAGAAAGCAGAACAUGCUGGGAAAAUGAAUAGCCGAGGGACAAAGUGGUCUGCAGAUGUGGCUCCAUGCUCCCUUCAGCAAACUAUUUACCUCUUAAUUUGUUAAAAACCAUAUGAGCUUACCUGUGACUUUUGCCUGAGCGACAUUUGUCAAUACUAUAUGGCCAUUUGCUUUGACUUAGUUUUCCCCCAUUGAUGUUGAACAAAUGUUUGCUUCCUUCCAGAAGUUUCCCUGUCUCCCUGGCUGCUACCUUCCUCUGUUCCCUGUCCUACACACAUGGUUGCUUCUCUUCUCCAGCAAACAGUACAGAGAGCCCCUGAGCCCCAGAGCAUGGCCUCCCUUUGGUGUUCUUAGCCAGUUCUGGUAAUACCACAUCUCUGUCUUCACCACUACCUAGGGAGAUCCCAGAUUAUAGUGCUCCCCAGAAAGCUGUGCUCACUGGCUUCUGCUCCCUGCCCAGUCUCACCAGGUAGCUGGAAACAUCUCCUCUAAGCAAUCUCCACACAUGCCAUGGAUUCUUCUCUGUUCUGUCCUGAGAUCUCCUGGACUUUAAUUCAAGAAGCCAUCAACAUAUUCCUGCUGUCUAUCCAAUCUGCUCCUCAAUACUGGGAGUUCAGCAGAGAACAGAGAAGAGAACAUCCCAGAAAUAUGCAUCUGUCUUCACUUUUCUUACCAGUGAACUUACUCCAUUCCCACCCCGGGCCAGUCCUCUUCAGAUGAUCCCAUGUGGCUUCAACAUAAUCCCUGACCAGGUGAAGUCUAUGUAAUUAUUAUUUAAUUCUGGAAACUUGUUUUUUUUAAUCAUGGUUUAUAGCAUGUAUUAUUAAGUACCAGUGGCUUUGUGCUGAAGUUGUGCUAGGUUGUG